rnacentral:rRNA from 1 species
CAGUCUAAAGGUUUCUUCGGAAACCUUGGCGGACUGCUCAGUAACACGUGGAUAACCUACCCUUGGGACUGGGAUAACCCCGGGAAACUGGGGAUAAUACCGGAUAGAUCAGGGAUGCUGGAAUGCACCUUGAUCCAAAGCUCCGGCGCCCAAGGAUGGGUCUGCGGCCUAUCAGGUAGUAGUGGGUGUAACGUACCUACUAGCCAACGACGGGUACGGGUUGUGAGAGCAAGAGCCCGGAGAUGGAUUCUGAGACACGAAUCCAGGCCCUACGGGGUGCAGCAGGCGCGAAAACUUUACAAUGUGCGAAGGCAUGAUAAGGGAACUCCGAGUGCCAGCAUCUAAUGUUGGCUGUCCUUGUGCCUAAAACGCACAAGAUAGCAAGGGCCGGGUAAGACCGGUGCCAGCCGCCGCGGUAACACCGGCGGCCCGAGUGGUAGCCGCUAUUAUUGGGUCUAAAGGGUCCGUAGCCGGUUCGAUAAGUCCUCUGGGAAAUCUGGUUGCUUAACAAUCAGACUGCCAAGGGAUACUGUCGAACUUGAGACCGGGAGAGGUAAGAGGUACUUCAGGGGUAGGAGUGAAAUCUUGUAAUCCCUGGGGGACCAUCUGUGGCGAAGGCGUCUUACCAGAACGGGUCUGACGGUGAGGGACGAAAGCUGGGGGCGCAAACCGGAUUAGAUACCCGGGUAGUCCCAGCCGUAAACGAUGCUCGCUAUGUGUCAGGUACGGUGUGACCGUAUCUGGUGCCGUAGGGAAGCCGUGAAGCGAGCCACCUGGGAAGUACGGUCGCAAGACUGAAACUUAAAGGAA